rnacentral:rRNA from 1 species
UACGAAGGGGGCUAGCGUUGUUCGGAAUCACUGGGCGUAAAGCGCACGUAGGCGGAUCUUUAAGUCAGGGGUGAAAUCCCGAGGCUCAACCUCGGAACUGCCUUUGAUACUGGGGAUCUCGAGUCCGGGAGAGGUGAGUGGAACUGCGAGUGUAGAGGUGAAAUUCGUAGAUAUUCGCAAGAACACCAGUGGCGAAGGCGGCUCACUGGCCCGGUACUGACGCUGAGGCGCGAAAGCCAGGGGAGCAAAGCGGGG